UUUCAUAGUCAGAGGGCGCCACGCGUAUGAUCUAUUUACAUUCUAUGGUUCGGAGCGGUUCAUACGAAAUAUUUUUGUAUAACGUUUACCUGUGCCACGUUUACCUGUCUGAUGUUUACCUGUGCAAUGUAUUGUACCUGGAAAUUAAAUCAGCUCAAAGAAGAAUUAAAGAAGAGGGGUGCUUCCUGUAGUGGAAGAAAGGCAGACCUUGUAGAGAGGUUUAAGAAGCGUAUGAUAGAAAUUUUAACUUCACUGAUAAAUCAUGUUCCUCAGAACCAGUACAAACCGAAGUUAUGGUCAUACCAAAAGACGAUUAUUAUAAAGAUAUAAACAGCAAUACCCCAUUGCCACCAUUAAAUAAACAUCAAAUACAAGAGUAUUUUGGAGAAUGCAGUCAAUCAUUAAUAAAGGGGAAAAGUUUAUACGAGAAUAGAUACCUUCUUAUAUU